rnacentral:rRNA from 1 species
AGGACGAACGCUGGCGGCGUGCCUAACACAUGCAAGUGGAGCGACGAACCAGGCUUCGGCCUGGAGCAAAGCCGCGAACGGGUGAGUAACACGUGGGUAACCUGCCCUGAUGAUUGGGACAACCCGAGGAAACUCGGGCUAAUACCGAAUGUGCCCUACGGCCACAAGGCCGGUGGGGAAAGGAAGCUUCGGCCUCCGCAUCGGGAUGGGCCCGCGGCCCAUUAGCUUGUUGGUGAGGUAACGGCUCACCAAGGCAACGAUGGGUAGCUGGUCUGAGAGGACGAUCAGCCACACUGGGACUGAGACACGGCCCAGACUCCUACGGGAGGCAGCAGUGGGGAAUCUUGCGCAAUGCGCGAAAGCGUGACGCAGCAACGCCGCGUGGGGAAGAAGGCCUUCGGUUGUAACCCUUCAGCAGGGACGAAGCGAAGUGACGGUACCUGCAGAAGAGCGCGGCUACUCGUGCCAGCAGCCGC